GUUGUACAUUUAUUGGCACCUAAAUCUAGCAUGCUUAUAGUUAUAGCACAAAAAAAACCCCCAAAUAAUACCAAAUUUACAGCAAGAACUGUAAAAGACAUAAUAAACCCUUUGUCUGAUUUGUUAGAAAUCUUAUGUUACACUUGAAAAGCUGGUUUUGAAAAACUUUCAACUUAAAGGAUUUCAUGUAUCUAUGUGUAUUCAUAUAUAUUUUGUACAUACAUAUAUCCGUUAAUGUUUCAUGACCCUCUAACAUUUGUGUUCCAUUCUUUUAAGUGGUAUAAUUUGGCCCCAAAGAAGAAAUAUUUCAUUUAGUUCAAAUUUUGCAUUUGGUGUCUUAGAACAGAUUUCCUGUGCAAGAUAUAGUUAAAAUGGAAUGAGUCAGUCAUAAACCAUAGUCACAUUUUCUAAGAGAUUUUUAAAAUAUUCAUUUGCAUUAUUGCAUUUAAUGUAAAAUAAUUUUCAGAUAUACAACUGUUACAAAUAUAUGCCAGCAAUAUUCACGCUUUAUCCUUUAACAACUUUUUGUUUUUAUACUUCCUAACUUCCAUUUUAAAAAGUUCUUUCAUUUAUGGACAAGCUAGUUAGGGUGAAAAUACUUGUUUUCUAUAAUAAAACAAUUUGAUGUUAUCUAUG
rnacentral:lncRNA from 1 species